GUGUGUGUGUGUGUGUAUGUGUGUGUGUGUGAGAGUGUGAGAAAGAGAAAGAGAGAGACAUGGAGAGAUUGAGAGAGACAUGGAGAUUGACUCAGAGUAACGUGCUACCAAUUCUCUUGGCUGAAGAAUCAGAUGAUGGAGGGACUAGACCUAGACCUAGCCACAGCUAGCUUGAUUAUUAAAAGAAACACCAGGAAAUUAAAAGUAGCUUGUAUUCUAUUUGCUUAGGUACUUGAAUAACUGGAAAAAUAAACUGCCUUUCCACUCCUACUCUUUGUAGUGAACUACAGAGCACAACAGCCUUUGUCUAAGAAUGUAACUCGACCAGGAAGGGUCUUGCAAGUCAUACAUUCAAAGCUUCAGCUGAGUUCCUCCAGGGGAGUGAAUCUCAGAUCUGAGUUUUGCCAUAGAGGCUGGACAAAACUGAAUUUCUCUGCAUAAAACAAAUCUUGGAGGGAUUCUCCACUCACCCCACCCACCCGAAAUUGAAGGGAAAUAAAAUGGAGAAAAAAGACCAGAGAGAGGAGGGCUGAGCAACAUUAUAGGAGGAUUGUUGCUGUGCCCACUGGACUUUAUGGCCUGGCUGAUUUUAUAAUACCCAGCUCACGAUGGGCAGCUCUGGCCCCAUAGUCAUCUGGUAUUGCAGAGAUGAGGUGUUGAAAGUGGUCAUUGAGAAGAUGUGACUGCCGGUUGACCCCCGAGCUGCACCUGGGCAAUCAGACGUUCCCCAUCCCCUCCCCUGUCCUCAGAAUGUAUGUUCUGCCCAUCAUUCCCACAGCGGGAGCCAGUUUCAAGGAUGGACCCUUGAGAGAGCAAUGUGUUUGUUAAGACCAUCUGGACAGUAUGUGACUGAACCCUAUUAAGACCUCUAUAUGUUUUUAAGAUUCUGGCAGGUGGGUGUGGAAAUUUCCUCUUCUUGUGGCCGUGCAAGACAAGUCUUCAUGUAAGUUCCCUUGCUUCUUAAACCUACCACCUACCAAUAUAGAGUGGUCUGCCUCUUUCUUCAGUCUCUCCUUGCCCUCCAUGGAUGGGGGCCAGUUUCAAAUUUCAUCUGGGAAACUCCGGGGGUCACAAACCAAGAUGAUGAAAGUGAGUUUCAAAGAGGUUAACACUCUCCUAAUGGCAUGCAGCUAAGAAGAGGCAGAGUUGAAACUCAAACCCAAGUCUUGCUAACUAUAACCUGAAAACUAGGAUCUAAAGAAUCUUAUAUCUGUAGAGUAAGGUCCACUCCUUAAGCAGGCAACAUAUCUGAUAUUGAUUGAAUUAGAAGUAACCAUAUUUAAAUAAAAUAAUUAAAACACUUUCUAGAGUUCAGCAUGUGCAGGCUGGAAAUGAAAACUUUGGAUGAGAGGGCCCUAGUGAAAAACAAAUUUAACUAUUACCAUAUGAACACUGUUGCCUGAAUAGUGAUGAUGCCAAAUGGCUGAGCAAAAGGUAUUGGAAAUAAUCUGUAACAAUUUUUGUAAAGAUGUUUUGGCAUAAAAAUGAAGAGCAAUUUUAUUUUGAAAUACUGAGAAGCAUGAGUGAAAAUAUAAUUAGUACCUGUAAAAAGUGAAUAAUUCCAGCGCUUUCCUUUAAAUGACUUUUGAUUAAAUUCUAGUUCUUCCAUAUGCCAUUACCAACUUAACCUAACAUAAAAAAGGAGAAAUCAGUUGUGUUUUUUUGCCUUUCAUCUCCUUUAUACAUCUACUGUCAAAACAAAAAUAUCAAACUUAAACUACCGUAUCAUAUGCCAAGACUGAUUGAGGGACUAUAAUUAUCCUUGUUCACACAUUAAAUGUAUUUUUUAUUUGUUCUGAUUAUGUA